rnacentral:rRNA from 1 species
GUGAUCCGGGUUGCGGACAGUGUCUGGUGGGUAGUUUGACUGGGGCGGUCUCCUCCUAAAGAGUAACGGAGGAGCACGAAGGUUGGCUAAUCCUGGUCGGACAUCAGGAGGUUAGUGCAAUGGCAUAAGCCAGCUUGACUGCGAGCGUGACGGCGCGAGCAGGUGCGAAAGCAGGUCAUAGUGAUCCGGUGGUUCUGAAUGGAAGGGCCAUCGCUCAACGGAUAAAAGGUACUCCGGGGAUAACAGGCUGAUACCGCCCAAGAGUUCAUAUCGACGGCGGUGUUUGGCACCUCGAUGUCGGCUCAUCACAUCCUGGGGCUGAAGUAGGUCCCAAGGGUAUGGCUGUUCGCCAUUUAAAGUGGUACGCGAGCUGGGUUUAGAACGUCGUGAGACAGUUCGGUCCCUAUCUGCCGUGGGCGCUGGAGAACUGAGGGGGGCUGCUCCUAGUACGAGAGGACCGGAGUGGACGCAUCACUGGUGUUCGGGUUGUCAUGCCAAUGGCACUGCCCGGUAGCUAAAUGCGGAAGAGAUAAGUGCUGAAAGCAUCUAAGCACGAAACUUGCCCCGA